AUGAAUGAGGAUUUGAGUAAGCCCUACACUAAUGAGGAAAUCGGGGCUGCUCUAUUCCAGAUGGGUCCUACUAAAGCUCCUGGACCUGAUGGCUUUCCAGCCCUCUUCUAUCAGAAUCAUUGGGACUUCUUGGGAGAGGAGAUUUGUCGAGCUGUGAGAUGCUUUUUGGAUGGAAGUUCAGUUUCAGAGGGUUUUUGUGACUCGGUGAUCGUCCUUAUUCCUAAAGUGACACGACCCAAGCACCUGAAGAAUUUCCGCCCAAUUAGUCUAUGUAAUGUUCUUUACAAGAUAGCCUCGAAGGUUUUGGCCAAUCGUUUGAAGUUAUUGCUCCCUGCUGUCAUCUCUGAGUUUCAAAGUGCAUUCGUGCCUGGAAGAUUGAUCACUGACAGCUCUCUUAUCGCUUAUGAAUCUCUUCACACCAUCAGACAUCAGCGAGCUAAACAACCCUUCUUUGCCUUGAAGAUUGACAUGACGAAAGCCUAUGACCGUGUUGAGUGGAGUUUUCUUCAUGGUUGUCUCUCCAGACUUGGUUUUAACCCUGCUUGGAUCAAUUCAGUGAUGAGGUGUGUAACCAAUGUCUGCUAUGCUGUAAGGGUUAAUGGUGAGCUUACUGCACCUGUUGUUCCAUCGAGAGGAAUUCGUCAGGGUGAUCCUAUCAGCCCCUAUUUGUUUCUGCUCUGCACCGAAGGACUGUCAAGUCUGUUACUCCAAAAGGAGAGUUGUGGUGAGCUACAUGGCAUUAGGAACGGUCGCUCCGGUCCUCCUAUCUCACAUCUCCUGUUUGCCGAUGACAGUAUCUUCUUUGCAAGAUCUGAUGCUCGUAGCGUGGCUGCUUUGAAGACUACUCUGGACCUAUAUUGCUCUGGUUCUGGUUAG
rnacentral:rRNA from 1 species